GCCUUCAUGGUGUAAUUGGAAAGCAUAUCCGGCUGGCGGUCGGAAGUUUCAGAGUUCGAAUCUCGGCGAGGACG
rnacentral:tRNA from 1 species